rnacentral:rRNA from 1 species
UACGGGGGGGGCAAGCGUUGUUCGGAAUUACUGGGCGUAAAGGGUUCGUAGGUGGCCAACUAAGUCAGACGUGAAAUCCCUCAGCUUAACUGGGGAACUGCGUCUGAUACUGGAUGGCUUGAGUGCAGGAGAGGAACGCGGAAUUCCAGGUGUAGCGGUGAAAUGCGUAGAUAUCAGGAGGAACACCGGUGGCGAAGGCGGGUCCCUGGGCAACAACUGACGCUGAGGAGCGAAAGCGUGGGGAGCGAACAGG